GACAAGCGGAAGACCACCGGGAUGCGGGCCAGGGUUGGGUUGGUCUCCUGCAGACCCUGGAUCCACUUGGCCAGCGUGGCCUGGUCGUGAGCACCCGCCAUGCAUAUGGCGAAGACAGGGCCUUCCUCCACUGUCAGGAGAGACAGGCCCUCAGUUUGUGCAGUAGGGACUGGGGCAGCCCCCUCAAGCCCACACCCCUUCCAGGCCAAGGAUGGGGGCUUUAAGCUCCCUUUUUCCUUUUGUGUGUUUCCAAGCCUUUGCACAUGCUCUGCCUAGCCUGCCUGUCCCAUGCUUCACCUAGGUGACACCUCCUGGCUCAAGUUUCCACCAGGAAAUCCUCCUGACUCCCACCUGAGGCUGAGUUGUGUGCUCCUCCGCUGGAACCCCAAGAAUGUAACUUGUCUGAUCCACCGCUGGCCUGAGGGAAGGGACUGGGCCUGUCCUGGUCAUGCCCAGUAGCCAGCACAGAGGUGCUCCAUAAACGUCUGAAGGAGGAUGUUUGAGGGCUGACAGGUCUGGAGCCCCUGAGUGGACCUUACCUAUGAUGUGGGGCUCCGUGGGAUCCGUGGCAUCUGUGGAGUCUUUGGACAAAGGCAUCUGCAAGGAAAGUCGGAGUGGAAGCUUGCAGCCCCCACAGCCCCUACGGAGGAGCCCGGGAGAGAGAAAUGGGGAUUCCAGUGAAUUCAGGACCCCUCUUGGGUCUGUCUACUGGGCCUCCAACAAUCACUCGAGCCCACCGCCUUCUUGCUUCUAUCUAAUUGGGUGGCUUACUACACCACUGUGCAUGCCUCACCCUUUCACUUUUUUCACCAGUCUUUGAUUGAGGUGCCACAGUGGACAUGGACAAGUCCCUCUUGAUAGAUACUUGGAUUGUUCCCAUUCUAAAUCUAGGUGGUGUCAAACAACAAGGUCCUACUGUAUAGCACAGGGAACUAUAUUCAAGAUCUUGUAAUAAAGUAUAAUGGAAAAGAAUCUGAAAAAAUA